rnacentral:rRNA from 1 species
UACGUAGGGAGCAAGCGUUGUCCGGAAUCAUUGGGCGUAAAGCGCGCGUAGGUGGCCUCAUAAGUCCGCUGUGAAAGUCAAAGGCUCAACCUUUGAAAGCCAGUGGAUACUGUGAGGCUAGAGUACGGAAGAGGCGAGUGGAAUUCCUGGUGUAGCGGUGGAAUGCGCAGAUAUCAGGAGGAACACCAAUAGCGAAGGCAGCUCGCUGGGACGUUACUGACACUGAGGCGCGAAAGCGUGGGGAGCGAACAGG